GCCAUUAUCAUACAUAGCCAUGUCCACAGUGCAGCCUUAGGUUGUAAACAGUGAUGUGGUUUUGACAGUUGACAUAUAAAUAAUGAAAAGUUUUAACAGGAGGAAGCAAUUUUACUGAAAAGCCAACAGCCUUUUGUUUUGUUUUGUCUUUGGAAAAACAACAUUAUACUGUGGUUCUUUUUAUCUGUGCACAAUCUUUUACUGGUCUCUCUGUGAGGCCAUUUAGUGUUGGCCAUUCCCUCUGCUUUAUUGAAAAAUAUGGUCUAAGACUUCUCACCUACCUGUCCUCCUGCCUUUGGCCCAGCAAUUCAUUUUGCUUUCUCCAAAACCAAAUCUAUUCUUUUGAUGAUACAUUCCAUUCAGCUCCUGACCUCAGCUCCUGUGUGCUUCCCUUGUCCAUCACAACCUCAGGUCAGUAAAUGAAGACUCUAAGAAAAUACCAAAAUAAAUAUUGCCCAUGGACUGCCAUUCACUUGUGACUUGUGGUCAUGAGGUAAAAUACAUUAUCACAUCCUGCUUUCUGCCCAGAUUCUGUUUUCAUUUGUUGUAGAUGUCAGAUGAACCAGGACUCUGCAGUCCUGAGGUGGUGGCUGUUUUGUGGACAGUUUGGAGGCUGAGCAGUAAGCCUAGCAGAUGAGGACAGGUAGGAAAAGUCAUGGUCACAGGCAUUUGAAUUGAAAUUGAAAACUGGAUUUUGUCACCCUUUGUGAAAUUUACUGUUAUGAAGCUUGGUGACUCAAUAAAACUUACAUUCUUCCCAACUUCUGUACAUGUGGUCCCCAUUUUCUGUGUGUCCACUUUCAGUCACCCAUGACUAAUUUGUGGAAAUUCUGCCCACUGUACCUAGAGCAAAAAGGGCUGUGAGCUGUUUGUUCUCUGAGGAAAGAAGGUGCUAAGUACUCUGGAAGCUUAGGUUCUAAAUUCCUUUAAUAGAGUACCCAAAAUAUACUGACAUGUUUGAAAAUACUGCCUUUUAUCUCUGUCCCUCAGCAGGGAGCUGUGAAGAUAAGUUCCUUGAUGUUUGUAAAAAACCCCCCAGCCCUCCAGCACUACAAUUAGAGCACCACAAUAGAAAAGCCAAUGAGGAAAUUAAUCAUUCUGUAUGCAAUGUGAGAUCUGGAUGCUCUGCAAUAAAUAGUACAUGCACCACACACUGGAUGAUAAGGAUAGGAGAAAAUUUGAAUAGUGUUCAUUAAGUGAGCAACAUUCAUCCCUUGCACUGUAAAAAAUGAGAGACCCAUGGAUACAAAAAUCAUAUUAUUAAAGAUUGUAUCAUAGUAUUUGUAUGCUGGGCAAAUUAAUGCUCCAUGGGUGAUCUUAAAUCUGGCAUUCACUACCUUGCUUUUUUUUUUUUUUUUUUUUUUUUUUUUUUUUUUUCAGAAAGGGCAAAACUAAUCUCUUUGGGGAGUUGCCAGUGGGGAGGGUAGAGGACAUCCAACUAGGUGCUGUUGUGUGCAGCUAGGUAUCAGUGCCUAUUCUUUGUGUCUCUGUGUGUGUGUGUAUGUGUGCGUGGCUAGCCCGUGCUUAUGCAGCUGGCUGAUGCUUCCCUUUGAAAAACCCUUUUCCAAUUAAAAAAAAAAAAUAGAAGGGACAUUGACAACUGCUAAUGCCUGAGGUUUAGAUUACAAAGUUUUAUAUAGUGUUUUGUGGUUCAGAUCUUCCUUUAUAGAGCCUCUGUUUGGUUCUGAGUCACCUAAACACCCCAAAUCUGUUUGAAUGAUGGGCCAAGUGUUUGUGGGAGUUAUCAUAAGGUGCUUUUAUGGUAGAUCUUUUAUGGCUGUGUUAUUAGAAGGGCUGACAUGCUGAGGAUUCACAGAGACCAGUAUUCAAGGUGCGCUGGAAUGAUAAAAAAUAUUAGUAGAUGUAAUUUGUUAUAUCUAUGUUUGGUUUGAUUACUGUCUUGUGUUUGAAAUCUUGUAAUUAGGGCAGUGAACUGCCUCCAGAGCCAGCACUGCUUCAGGUAAUACAACACUAGGACGAGUUCCUUUGACUUCAGUAGGUGAUUCUUCACAAAGAAUGAAGGCUGGAGCCCAUGUAAAUUAUACAUCACCUCUGGGGAGCUGCAGAUCACAGGGAGAGCAGGGAAAUACUGAGGGCCGUCUCUCCCUGUUGAAUAACUGAAUUAGAAGUAUAGAUCCGUGGGAAUCGGCAGCACCUUGACUUGCUCGAUCCCCUCCCCCACUAGAUGGCACUGAAUUCUUUUUCUUUAAACGGAAAAAAAAAAAAAAAAAAAAAAAAA
ensembl:lncRNA